ensembl:lncRNA
GCAGGAAGUAAAGUGAACAUAGGACACAAGAGGUAAGAAGUAAAGUGAACAUAGGACACAAGAGGUAGGAAGUAAAGUGAACAUAGGACACAAGAGGCAGGAAGUAAAGUGAACAUAGGACACAAGAGGUAGGAAGUAAAGUGAACAUAGGACACAAGAGGUGGGGAAAACGAAAUAGAUAAAGACAGAGAAUCUUUAAACAUAUGUAUUUAUUUAUUAUAAUUCUGUUAUUUCUGCCUGAUACAAUUAAAUUGUAUUUAUUUUAUUUUUACAGCCCCAAAUCACAAAUUUGCCUCAGGGGGCUUUACAGUCUGUACACAUUUGACGUCCCCUGUCCCGAAACCCUCACAUAUACGCAGGAAAUAUCCUAUAUUAUAGUCACUUUUGCAGGUGAGAUCAACAGCUAACAUUAGCUGCACAAAGAUGUCCAGUUUACUGGUCAAUACUACUGAGACUACUGUGAUACUUGAUACUAUAAAGUAGAUCUUACCAUCCCAGUCCUUCUGGUUUCCUGGUGUAUAUCAUCGUUAUACAUAUUAUACAGAAUCAUCAUUAUGGGUUUACCAUAACCAUAAGUAAACAGCUAAAAAUGUG